rnacentral:lncRNA from 10 species
GAUUGCUCUCACAACUGCCACAAGCUCUGCUGUUGCCCAUGCCUUUAAAGUACCUUGUCUUGACCAGGGUCAUCACGUGGUACCAAUCCUGAGGAUGCCAUGUAGGUACACACGGUGUGAAGAAUGCCGCCUGGAGUUGUACACCCUGGUGGCCCAGGCUUGGCCUCACUUGCCCCACAGUGAUGGCCUCAUUUCUCUGUUUUCCUUCAUUUCUCUUUCGGGUUUUUCUAGAGUUCUUCGCACUUGCUGUUUCCCUUCCCCUUUUCUCCCCACACCCCUACUGCACCCUGGCUUCACCUCCACCUCGCCUGGUCAACUUGCCUGGUCAAUUCACCAGUGACCUCCAUGUGGUCACACUCAGUGGUCACUUCCCAGUCCUCAUCUUGCUCCAUCUCUCAGCAGCAUUCGGUGCCACUGGCCACUCCUUCCUUCGGCUUCUGGAAUGCCCCCCUUUCCUGGCUGCCUCUCUGGCUGGGUUCUGUCUCCUUAGCUGAC